UACGUAGGGAGCAAGCGUUGUUCGGAUUUACUGGGCGUAAAGGGCGCGUAGGCGGCGCGGUAAGUCACUUGUGAAAUCUCUGAGCUUAACUCAGAACGGCCAAGUGAUACUGCAGUGCUAGAGUGCAGAAGGGGCAAUCGGAAUUCUUGGUGUAGCGGUGAAAUGCGUAGAUAUCAAGAGGAACACCUGAGGUGAAGACGGGUUGCUGGGCUGACACUGACGCUGAGGCGCGAAAGCUAGGGUAGCAAACGGG
rnacentral:rRNA from 1 species